rnacentral:rRNA from 1 species
GAUGAACGCUGGCGGCGUGCCUAACACAUGCAAGUCGAGCGAGAAUUUGCGAAAUGAAGCUUCGGCAGAUUUUGUAAAGGAAAGCGGCGGACGGGUGAGUAACGCGUGAGUAACCUGCCCUUUGGAGGGGGAUAACACAUCGAAAGAUGUGCUAAUACCGCAUAACAUACAUUUACCGCAUGAUAGAUGUAUCAAAGAUUUAUCGCCAAAGGAUGGACUCGCGUCUGAUUAGAUAGUUGGUGAGGUAACGGCUCACCAAGUCGAUGAUCAGUAGCCGGACUGAGAGGUUGAUCGGCCACAUUGGGACUGAGACACGGCCCAGACUCCUACGGGAGGCAGCAGUGGGGAAUAUUGCGCAAUGGGGGAAACCCUGACGCAGCAACGCCGCGUGAAGGAUGAAGGCCUUCGGGUUGUAAACUUUUGUCUUAUGGGACGAAAAAGGACGGUACCAUAGGAGGAAGCCACGGCUAACUACGUG